rnacentral:rRNA from 1 species
AUGCUCUUCAGUCCAAAGCUUCUCUCAUGGACGUGCCCCAGACAGUCACAAGCCCAGGCUGCUCUGCUCCGCCGCCUAUUUUGCGCCUUCUACCCAACCAACCUCGACGAUGAUGAUCCCCCAUUUACACGAAUCCCCAAAAGUCCACCUCGAGCUCCAACGCCGCCGCCGCCGCCGAAGCCCAAAGACCAGCCUGCCAAGAUCAGCCCCGACGAGCCGGCACACUCCGACCUUCCAUUCGACUUCCAGUACUCGUACUCGGAGACUGACCCGGCUUGGAAGCCCAUUGGAUUCCGCGAGCCCACCCGGUUUUCGCCCUUUGGCCCCGGCCGCCUUGACCGGCCUUGGGACGGCGUCGCCGCGCGUGCCGAAGGGAACAGAGAGGAUGUUUAUGGCAGUGCGAGUAGUAGGGAUGAGGUGCUUGGCGAGGCGCUGUCGGAAGCGGAGGUGGCAGAGCUCGUGGAGAGGUACCGGCACAGCGACUGCUCCCGGCAGAUCAAUUUGGGGAAAGGUGGUGUAACUCAUAAUAUGCUCGAUGACAUCCACAACCACUGGAGACGUGCAGAAGCGGUCAGAAUCAAAUGUCUUGGGGUUGCAACUCUUGACAUGGACAAUAUAUGCUUCCAUCUUGAGGAUAAAACAGGUGGGAUAAUCAUACACUGUAGCAUAAAUAUACUCAUCCUAUAUCGUGGCCGGAACUAUGAUCCAAAACAACGGCCUGUCAUACCAUUGAUGUUGUGGAAGCCAUUGGCUCCUAUUUAUCCUAAGGUUGUCCAAAAUGUUGCGGAAGGGUUGACUUUUGAGGAAACAAAAGAAAUGAGAAACAGAGGAUUACAUUCGCCACCGCUUAUGAAACUGACUAGGAAUGGUGUUUAUGUUAAUGUUGUUGACAAAGUGAGAGAGGCCUUUAAGACUUCGGAAGUUGUGAGACUAGAUUGCUCUCACACCGGCACUAGUGAUUGCAAAAGAAUUGGUGUGAAGUUGCGGGAUUUGGUUCCAUGCAUUCCUAUAUUAUUUAAAGAUGAACAAAUUAUUCUCUGGAGAGGGAAGCGGGACCAGGAGGACUCUGUUUCAGCUCAUUGUACUUCUCCACCACAAUGA